rnacentral:rRNA from 1 species
AUAUUGCACAAUGGGGGGAACCCUGAUGCAGCGACGCCGCGUGAGGGAAGACGGUUUUCGUAUUGUAAACCUCUGUCUUUAGGGACGAAACAAAUGACGGUACCUAAAGAGGAAGCCACGGCUAACUACCUGCCAGCAGCCGCGGUAAUACGUAGGUGGCAAGCGUUGUCCGGAAUUACUGGGUGUAAAGGGAGCGUAGGCGGGAAUGCAAGUUGAAUGUUUAAACUAUGGGCUCAACCCAUAGUCGCGUUCAAAACUGCAUUUCUUGAGUGGAGUAGAGGCAGGCGGAAUUCCUAGUGUAGCGGUGAAAUGCGUAGAUAUUAGGAGGAACACCAGUGGCGAAGGCGGCCUGCUGGGCUUUAACUGACGCUGAGGCUCGAAAGCGUGGGUAGCAAACAGG